rnacentral:misc_RNA from 1 species
GUGAAUCAUCGAAUCUUUGAACGCAUCUUGCACUUUCUAGGUCUACUAGAGAGUAUACCUGUUUGAGUAUCAGAUAAUUCUAUAUCCAAACAAUGUGUUUGGGAAAUGAGAUUUUGAAUAUAUAUAUUUAUAUUCUGUCUUUAAAUGUAGAGAAUAGUUGACUAGUAGUUUUACUAUAUUUAUAUACGUAAACUCUAUAAAGUGUGGUAAGAAAUGUAUAUAAACAUUUGUUUUUAUACGCUAUAUUUCUCCCACUGAAUUUAAUAGACUUUUACUAUAUUGAUAGUAAAAUUAUUCUAG